GGCCGUUCUCAGGUGGCACACCCCAGGAUCGGGCUCCCUCCUCUUUGGUUCCAGGUGUGUCACCUGAGAACCGUC
rfam:Myotis davidii contig113760, whole genome shotgun sequence.